AAAAGCUGCAAUCAUAUUUUGAGUUAACAGAUAGAAAAUUUGUCGGGAUUUUAAUUAUUGUACAAAAUUUCAGACAAUUUGGUUUAGUUUAAGCCCCUUAACUAUUCACGCAAAGUUACAAUUUUCCCGAAAAAUCAGCUAUUUGCAUGCUUAAUUAAUGCAUUUGCCUAAUUUGCAUAUGUCAGCAAUAUGCAAAUUAGGCAAAGGCAUUAAUUAAGCUGCGAAAGGCUGACUUUUUAGAACAAAAUGAAUAGUUAAAGGGCUUAAACUAAACCAAAUUGUACAGUAAUUAAAAGCCCGACAAAUUUUCAAUCUAUUAACUCAAAAUAUGAUUACAGCUUUUAAAUUUUGUGCGCGAGCCAUUUUUAAUUUGUUGGAAAAGACACCCCCCCCUGGUUCACAAAAUUUGAGUUCGAGAAAUUUUUUUCAUUAUUUUACAUUAUAAGUACCCAAAGAAGCUAUAUAUAUAAAAAACAGAUACAAAUAGGUGUUUUGCGAAAUUGAGAGCAAUUUCAAAUCUGUUCAGUUUUUUUU
rnacentral:lncRNA from 1 species